GAGCAGAAAGAACAUGUGAAAUUCAUCAAAUUAACACGAAGGUAGUAUAUUACAAUUUUUCCAAUCUGUUACAAAGCAGAUAUGCCUAUUAUUAUAAUAUAUAAUAUGCAUUCUUGGAUAAGUAGAGCUUCACACAAUUGGCUUCAAGGCUUCGCACUUCAACUUUCUUAGGCCUGGAGGUCCUGUAGAAGAAACAACCAUAUUUUUAAGAGCUACAAGAUAUAGAUCAAGAAUAGAAACAAGGCACAAAAACUGCAUAACAGUUACAAUAUAGCUAUUUGUUUUAGUUCGUACUACUACUGUAAUCGAUGCAAAAAAAACAUACUACUACUGUAAUUGACAUAAAACCUUGAAAGAGACAAGCAGAAGUCAAAAAAUAUUUUUAGAACAGAUAUUUGCAUUAAAAUUAGGCAUUAAAAAUAAUGGACACAAAUAUUUGCAUUAAAGAUUAGGCAUUGCACACCCGGCAGAAAGAGACAAGCAGAAGUCAAAACAUAUUUUUAGAACAGCUCACGACUACCAACAAUAAUGUAAAAUCCAGAUCCUACAUCUUCAUCCAUUUGGAUGUUGGCAUCAUAGCAUGCUUUGCUCAACCAUAGAAUGCUUUCCAUGAUGGAAAGAGACUCUACAGCAAUAACACAAUAGACAACCAGGAAGCAUCAAACUUAACUGCAAAAUUAAAGAAUAGGUGCAAGAUAAUGAAUAUUUGAUCCAGUGUCAGCCUAUUCAUGAAAACACAAUAGCUGACUAAUUCUCUUUGACAAUAACACAGAUGUAAAAAUAUAUACUGCAAUAUAUGUUACUACCGAAUAUAUAUACCUGAACAGAGUUCUUCUUUUCGACCGUCAAGCUGCGAAGCAGUCUGAUCAUCUUCUGUAAUGGCAAAUGUCACUGGCGUCAGCUGAUAUCACAAGAGAGCUACACUUUCAAUCAUUUUAGAUGGACAACUGCAUAAAUAAAAAAUGCAUAUACCAGACUCGGGGACUGACGAUUGAUUCUCGGUAGCAGUCAAAUGUUUGCUGGUGCUAGCAUUUCCACGGGUUACUGGGUCAUGCAUGAGAUGAGAAUUUGCAAAGUCAGAAGGGGAGGUCGUCUAUCUUUUGCGGGUCAGCGGUCUGGCACAUGGACCGGAUCAAGGGCACGGCCUAUGGGAGCAGUUCUAGUGCAGUUUGGACACAGAAGGAAUAGUAUCUGUUGGGAUCUUCUUGCAGUUUGCGCAUCAGAAUACUCGAGGUCAACAACUUGUCAGAAGUUAUCGAAAUGUCAGAUCGUGGAUGGAUCUGUCUUAGCAAAGACUUGAAGUUGAGGACUAAUAAUGGACGGGGUACAGCGACAAGUCAAUUGUCACAGCUCAUACAUCCCAAUAAGACUUGAUUGUCAGAUUUAGAACAUUGAUUAAUGGCGAUUUUUACCAGAAUAACUACGUUUACUUGACCAAUAUCAAGAAGACUUGAACUAUAAUUGUUGGAACUCAUGUGGAAGGGAAACCUUCAAAAUCAGAACUAGUAAAGUGCAUCACUAUUUAUUGUAUAAUAAAGUCUGUACAUAUUCCACUUUCUGCAUGGAAACUUUAGAGUUUGGGUAUUGUUUUUAAUUUCAGAUGGCUAAAAGAGGUGAUUAUGGUGGGCAAUGUUGUCAAUGUGUAAAUCGUCACGCUCAUGUGUUUUUAGCAUAUGCCAUACUGCAACCAAGUCCUAGCCCUAAUCGACAUGCUUUGUUGUUAUCGGUAAUGAAACCAGUCAAAAACAGUAAGUCAUUAAUCCCACUUGUUCUCUGGUAAAAUAACUGCAACUGGUGUAUAACGUUCCACCUAACAAAAUGCAAAUGUCGAAAUCAAAAUUUGAACACAGUUGAGCAUCAGUGCACCACGUUGUUGAUUUCUGGAGUGUAAUGACAGCACAUUAUGAUCUCCAUUUGGGAAACGGCAAAAAGACCAGCAUAGUCAAGCUUGGAUCACUUUGUUUAGCUAAUCACCUAACCUAAGCAAGUAGCAUAACAGUGUGUCAAGUCCAUUUGCAAUAUCCACUAGUACACUGUAUAUGAGACUAAAAUAAUUCAUUGGAAGCUUUAGAAUUCACAUAACAUUGAAUUUCACUAUCAAAUUCGCAAGAACUUUACAGUUGCAAGACAGCAGUUACGAUAGUGAGAAAACAAGCAAUUUUCUGACCCAAAAGGAAGCAAGCAAAAAAAAACACACCUUUGGAACGAGAGUGACCGAGACGGCAUCAGCGAGCUUGUGGAUGUCGGUGGCGAGCCCGCGCCAGCAAGCGUCGCCGGUGGAUAUCACCUUGACGUCCGCAAUGCAUCAUGGUUGUCGGACCUAAUUGAGAAGGAGGCUCGGCAGUGGCCGCUGGAACUCUACCAGCGUCGCUAUACUUGACUAAUGGGUU
rnacentral:lncRNA from 1 species